UAAGGAAUAUUGGUCAAUGGAGGGAACUCUGAACCAGCCAUGCCGCGUGCAGGAAGACGGCCCUCUGGGUUGUAAACCGCUUUUGUUCGGGAAUAAACCUAUUUACGUGUAAAUAGCUGAAUGUACCGAAGGAAUAAGGAUCGGCUAACUCCGUGCCAGCAGCCGCGGUAAUACGGAGGGUCCAAGCGUUAUCCGGGUUUAUUGGGUUUAAAGGGUGCGUAGGCGGCUUAUUAAGUCAGGGGUGAACGACGGUGGCUCAACCAUCGCAGUGCCCUUGAUACUGAUGAGCUUGAAUGGACUAGAGGUAGGCGGAAUGUGACAAGUAGCGGUGAAAUGCAUAGAUAUGUCACAGAACACCGAUUGCGAAGGCAGCUUACUAUGGUUUAAUUGGCGCUGAGGCACGAAAGCGUGGGGCUCAAACA
rnacentral:rRNA from 1 species